rnacentral:misc_RNA from 1 species
GGGAUUUGUUGUUGCUUUCAUGCUAUUUAAUGUAAAAGGUAUGGUACUAAAAUGAAUUUGCCCUUGCCAGAGAAAAUAUUUCAACAUGUGCUGUGACUUUUGUUUUUAAUCCUUUCUUUCUUAAGUGACUUUGCAGAUUAUCUUAAUGACAAUUAUCUGCUUUGAUAAUGAAUGUAGAUUGGAUUUCACUUCUUAGCUAAUCUUGCUUGUAGAAUGUUGUCUGAUUGAUAUUACUAAUUUUCAAACUUUAUGAAACUUGUGCUUAUUUGGGUUUUGUUCCUUACUACAGGGUCUAAUCUCUAUUUCUGGAUAGCCAUCAUUCCUAUCACUCUUGUCCUUUUGGUGGGUACAAAA